rnacentral:rRNA from 1 species
GACGAACGCUGGCGGCGUGCCUAAUACAUGCAAGUUGAGCGAUGAAGAUUGGUGCUUGCACCAAUUUGAAGAGCAGCGAACGGGUGAGUAACGCGUGGGGAAUCUGCCUUUGAGCGGGGGACAACAUUUGGAAACGAAUGCUAAUACCGCAUAACAACUUUAAACAUAAGUUUUAAGUUUGAAAGAUGCAAUUGCAUCACUCAAAGAUGAUCCCGCGUUGUAUUAGCUAGUUGGUGAGGUAAAGGCUCACCAAGGCGAUGAUACAUAGCCGACCUGAGAGGGUGAUCGGCCACAUUGGGACUGAGACACGGCCCAAACUCCUACGGGAGGCAGCAGCAGGGAAUCUUCGGCAAUGGACGAAAGUCUGGCCGAGCAACGCCGCGUGAGUGAAGAAGGUUUUCGGAUCGUAAAACUCUGUUGGUAGAGAAGAACGUUGGUGAGAGUGGAAAGCUCAUCAAGUGACGGUAACUACCCAGAAAGGGACGGCUAACUACGUG